UUAAAACUCAACAAGUUCCUUUUAGACUUGCAGGAGAACAUUGCAUUCUCUAAAAUGUUGUUCCUUUAUGCAGAGUUAUAGUUGCUCUUCCGGAGCCUUUAAUCAAUUUACUACUAACAGAAAUUGUAGUAACAUCUGCCUUACACAUACUUAAAUGAGAGUAAUAUUUCUUCUCUUUGAAUAUCGUAUGUGUGGUACAUGAAUCAAUUAAUCAAAAGAGAUAUACGUACAUGAGAAUAAACAAAUUUAAUCCGUGACUUCAUCAUUAACCAAUAUU
rnacentral:lncRNA from 1 species